rnacentral:rRNA from 1 species
CGUAGGGUGCGAGCGUUAAUCGGAAUUACUGGGCGCAAAGCGUGCGCAGGCGGUUUUGUAAGACAGGCGUGAAAUCCCCGGGCUCAACCUGGGAACUGCGCUUAUGACUGCAAGGCUAGAGUACGGCAGAGGGGGGUGGAAUUCCACGUGUAGCAGUGAAAUGCGUAGAGAUGUGGAGGAACACCAAUGGCGAAGGCAGCCCCCUGGGUCGAUACUGACGCUCAUGCACGAAAGCGUGGGUAGCAAACAGGAUUAGAUACCCUGGUAGUCCACGCCCUAAACGAUGUCAACUAGGUGUUGGGUGGGUAAAACCAUUUAGUACCGGAGCUAACGCGUGAAGUUGACCGCCUGGGGAGUACGGCCGCAAGGUUA